UACGUAGGGUGCAAGCGUUAAUCGGAAUUACUGGGCGUAAAGCGUGCGCAGGCGGUUCGCUAAGACCGAUGUGAAAUCCCCGGGCUUAACCUGGGAACUGCAUUGGUGACUGGCGGGCUAGAGUAUGGCAGAGGGGGGUAGAAUUCCACGUGUAGCAGUGAAAUGCGUAGAGAUGUGGAGGAACACCGAUGGCGAAGGCAGCCCCCUGGGCUAACACUGACGCUCAUGCACGAAAGCGUGGGGAGCAAACAGG
rnacentral:rRNA from 1 species